rnacentral:rRNA from 1 species
GGCACCUGAUCCAGCCAUGCCGCGUGCGGGAAGAAGGCCUUCGGGUUGUAAACCGCUUUUGUCAGAGAAGAAAUCCUUUGGGCUAAUACCCUGAGGGGAUGACGGUACCUGAAGAAUAAGCACCGGUCUAACUACGUGCCAGCAGCCGCGGUAAUACGUAGGGUGCGACGCGUUAAUCGGAAUUACUGGGCGUAAAGCGUGCGCAGGCGGUCAUACAAGACAGAUGUGAAAUCCCCGGGCUUAACCUGGGAACUGCAUUUGUGACUGUAUGGCUGGAGUACGGUAGAGGGGAGUGGAAUUCCGCGUGUAGCAGUGAAAUGCGUAGAUAUGCGGAGGAACACCGAUGGCGAAGGCAGCUCCCUGGACCUGUACUGACGCUCAUGCACGAAAGCGUGGGGAGCAAACAGGAUUAGAUACCCUGGUAGUCCACGCCCUAAACGAUGUCAACUGGUUGUUGGGAGGGUUUCUUCUCAGUAACGAAGCUAACGCGUGAAGUUGACCGCCUGGGGAGUACGGCCGCAAGGUUGAAACUCAACGGACUUGACGGGGACCCGCACAAGCGGUGGAUGAUGUGGUUUAAUUCGAUGCAACGCGAAAAACCUUAACUAUCCUUGACAUGGCAGGAAUCCUGUAGAGAU